CUGGACACGGUGUGUUUCCUCUUAGGUUUGUUAUAUUCCUUUAACAAUCGGAAGUAUAAUUAACACAAAUAAAUUCAGAGUAAUUAAGUGAUUGUUUAAACAAUAGGACUUAGGUACAAAGUACCGCCCUAAGUUACCAAGAGUUCGGGGAAGGUUUAGAAUAACAGGUGUGAAAGUUGACCAGGUACACAGUACCAGCCGUGAGCUUCGGGAAGUAGUUAUCGGGAGUUAGACCGUAGGUGCAAAGCACCGGCCUAAGCUUCUGGAUCAGGCCAGUAAUAAUUUUGGAACACCCUGGAA